AUUAACAAAAUGUAUGUUGCAACUCCCCAUUUCUCAGAAAUUUCAUGAUUUGACAGUAAUAACUGGAAAUUACAUCAAAUAUUCAGCAUUCCUUAAGAUUCCAGAUUUCCUUUGGAAGAUGAAAUCAAUAACUCAAACAGGUAUAAAGACUUUCAAAACUAGUCAAAACUUUCAAGAAACAUAAUCAAGCAUGGAUAUACCACCCUUCCCCAA
rnacentral:misc_RNA from 1 species